UACUGUAAACUUGUGAAUUUUUGUGUUUCUAUUCAAAAGUGAAAGUGUUAAAAUAUUGGUUGACAGUUCAUUAUCGACCUUGGAAACAAAAUAAUCACAGCUCAAGGCCCACUUAUUCGCUUUUUGUGGAGCUUUCAAACAAACCACAUUGCCUUCCUUAGCAUAUUAUUAUUAUUAUUGAAUUCCGUUAUUCAUUAUAAGAAGUCCCAAAGCUCAGAUUAAUGGGAAAUUGGAACAUACACUUCCAUGGUAAUUGGCAAACUUCAUCUGCUAAUAAAGACUGUGUGAUAUGGUCAAAAGCUCCAGAACAAGCAAGUAAGUGGACCUUGAGCAGAGAUAUAAUUUGUUGACAGUACAUUCAAUUUCAGCUAAACAUGAAAAUGUAUACACCAAGUAAAUUAAUGUCACAAAUAAUUCCGACCGACAUGUUUAAAGCCCUUGAAAACCUUUCAAAUCUUAAGUAUUUCUUUAUAACAUUAAAUAUUCAUGACUAAAUAGGCAACAAUCACAGUUCAUGUUUGGAAGAAAACAUUUUGAGUUUUUAUUUAUUGAGAGUUUACCACUCUGGGCUGCGUGGGUGUGGUUUGAUGAGAUUUUGCUGACAGUCGCAAACAACCCCACAACUGACAUCACCUUCUUUCAAAUGAGCCCCAACCACUUCAAACCAGUAAGCAAAGCACACACAAAAACACAAAUACAGAAAUCUCAGUUGAAAUAACCAAAACUGUUGGUACUUUGGCAGAAAAUUGUGUUCAUGUAGGACUGCAUUUCUAACAGCGAGAAGCUGCUUGACUUUCAUUGCCAUUAAAUAGUUUGAGCAGGACAUGAAAUUAAACAUAAACAAAUUAUAUGAAGAACUCCUGUGUAAAAUUUGCUCCUUUUAGUCUAAAAAAAAAACUCUAGAACACGUCUGUUGUAGGGCUGUCACUUUUUCAAAAUGUCAAGUUCAAAUGAAUUCGAACUAACAAGUAAUUCAUUCAAAUUAAUUUGAACGUAACCCAACUCAUAGUGUAAUACAUAAAAUAUAUUAGGGAAAUCUGAGUUUCCUAUAACUUUGGUCUUAUUUUCAUAGUUUUGGCCAUCAUUCCUAUCACUAAUAAUAACAACAACUCUUCUUACCAAAGUAAUUGCUGAGUUUGUGAACAUGGUGACAUCACUAAAAAGUCUAAUGGGGCAAAAACUUAAGCAUUCAGACAAUCAGACAAGUUUCAAACAAACCAAAAGGUUAGCCAGAGUAGAUUGAAAAAGAAAACAAUGGUGACCGGUGAGAUCAUUACCCAACUGUGAUGAAUGUUGGAAGCAAUUUUUGUGAGAUUGGCAAAACUGUUUGUUUACAAACUGCAAGAACACACAACACAACUUUUUGUCCCAGUCAGACUUUGUUGUAGCGUUUUCUGUGUUCCCAAAUCUCAGAAAUUACUUUAUCGAGUACAAUGUUAUCAUAACCGAUAGAAAUUAUUGGCAAAACUAUGAAAAUAGGACCCAAAUUACAAUAAUCCGGAAUUUUCCUUUAACGUCAGGCCUUCAGUUUACAAAUCUGAAGGGAGACACUGAAAUCAUAUGACUGAUGUAUCAUAUUGCUGACUUUCUGUUUAAAAGUUUUAUCUUAAAGGGGAGUUGAACUAUAGUUUGUUUGAAAUGUCACAUAAACUAUACAGCAGUUGUUGUUUUUGGAGAAAUGACAUUAUAAAUGGGUAUAUAAUCUUAAUGGAUAAAUGUGUAGUCUUUAACACUGGUCCAAAACCUCUUCCUUAUUGGCUUUGGAAGCAGAAUAUUCAACUCCAGAUGAAUUACCCUGUAUCCCCAGGCCUUUCAUUUGUCAGCACUAAUGACCACAGUUCCCUCCCUCCCGCUCUGCUGUUGUUUUACCUGUAAUAAUGGAUUGAUUUGUGACUCUGAGGCAAAGCAGUUGUGAGUGAGUGAGUGAAAGUUUGCAUUGAACUCAUUAAAGUUUGUAUUAUCCAGUGUUUAGCACACUGAUUAUAGCAAAAGGAGCCAUCUGCUUGGGGGAGCACGGCUCCCAUCGCAGCUCUGUGUAAUUUACCAAACAAAGUUUGCCGCUCCCAUCAAAAAUCAGCAAUCUUCUACCCAUAGGGGUAGAGCCAUGUCACACGGUGAACUGAAAGGUGUAGGUGCAUCUCAAGUGAAUGAAUAUUAUGUAGAUGAUGUUUUUAUGGGGUCAUCCUUGGUGCGCUCCAUGUGAGUCAAUUAAUGCAAUUAGCUAUUAAUCUCUUCUCCAAAAUUGGAUUGGUUUACUGAGAAAUGAGAUUGACUUGUUUCUCAUUAAAGGACAAUAUCGUAGGCCAUUUUUGGAGGUCCUUCCUCUGGACGAUAAUAGCAUAUUUUUCUUAGCCCUGUUACCAUUCUGGACUGGUAUUCAAGAAAUUGCAUGGUUGUUAGGGGUGUAAUGAGUACUAUUUUUUUUUAUACUACUAUACUAAUACUCACCUACCUCUUACCCUCCUCACCAAAGAAAGAACAGCAUUGGUAGUAGUAUCAUACCUCCAGUUUUGCGCACGCACACGCCUACGUGCACGAUCUAACCCUAAAUAUACCCGGUCAUGCCUUUAGGGGUCGCUUAUGCCCCUCCCAGGGGGCAGGAUUAUCUGUGAGAAUAUAUAUAAGCAGAUGUUACAGUUUAACAAUUUCUUUAACUCCUGCGUGUUUUGGGGUGGUUACUAUUGGUUCUCCGCUUUUCUCCAUAUUUGACUAUUGUCUGAAUGGCUUCUCACCACAGUAAGUAACCUGAUAAUCAGUUUUAUUUCAUUCAUGUUUUUUCCAGUAAUCCUGAUGUAUUUUAGUAAAAUCCUUUUUUAUCAUGUUCUUAAAAGUUUCUUUUGUUAGGCUACCUUUGGGCCAGGAGGAUAUUGAAAACAUUCCUCCUACUGAUGCUGCAGGUUAGUGUUUAAUAGAUCAAAAUAUAAAUGUAUCAUUUUUAAGCUAUCAUACUGUCUACCAGUGACGACGGAACACAUUUUUGGUGUAUAGAGGGAUUUUGUGGGAUAUAAAAUAAAACAUUUAAAUUGUUGUAACCACUACAGGAUAGCAGAUGAAUGUAAAUUAAUAUUUGAUACUUGAUACACAUAUAUAUUGUACUCUCUGUGUGUGUCUCCAUCUGUUUAAAUCUAAAAGGAUAAAGCCAACAGAAAUGUAAAAGAUCGCUUUCUUUGAAGGUAUUUAGAGUGUGAAUUAGCCUAGUACAGAAAGAGUUUGGAGGCCCGACAUGCUGAACAGAAUACACAGCACUGUGUGAUCUGCCUAUUUUCACGGUUGAAUUAUUUAUGAGAGUUGAUCUGACUGUUCCUGAUUUUUAUCAGAUCUAAUGUGCAUUUAAUAACUGCUGAUGUGCAUCUGGAGCCAUCCUUUGCAUCAGUUGAAGAUGCACACCCCGCAUGUGGCGUUGUGUCGCAACGCAGGGGAGCAGUGCUGGUGAAUGAAGGACAUUUAGGGGACACCUUUGUCACAGGGAUAGAGGACACAGAACUUACACAAACUGUGAAUUCCAUAAACAGAGGUGCUGCCUCAGGGAAUGAAGGAGAUUCAGUGGGCAUUAGUCCACUAGUGCAAGGUCUGCAAAUGAUGAGAUGAUAAAAACAGCAGAGCCGUUGCUUGUGCAAGCCUUAGCGUCAGUGGUAGAGGCAUCCGCCUUAACACGGAUUGUGGACUCGCACAGCGGGGAAGUAACCCCAUGUGACAUCCGACAUGCUGUACAGGAUGCUUGGUCUGUGAAUGAUGAGAUAACGACUGCAGACCAACAGCUGGCUCCUACUUCUGCAUCAGCGGUAGAGGGCACCGAGCUGUAAAGUCGAUCAGCUGUGGGGCGGCGCUGGUCAAUGAAGAGCAAUUAACAUUAGUUGACGUCCGACAUGAUGAUGAACAGGACAAGCGGUUUGUGACUGAUGAGAUAAGAGCGACUGACCAGCCGUUAGAAGCGGCAUCUGCAUCAGAGGGGGUGGAGAUCGAUGAACAGACACGCGCUAUUGAAGCGCUUUGCAGAGAACUGGGUGAUACAGAGUGGAUGAUUGAAUAACAAAUAGAUAAACUCAGAUUAUUGGAUGGAUCAGUUUACUCUCAUACAUCUGUGUGUUCUAUCCGUGCUGUACCCACUACUGGAUACUCCAACAAGCCAAAUAUGUUUUCUCAGAGCAGUCAGAACUACCUAAUUUGACUAAGCUUUAUUGGUGCUGUUUAAAUAUUAGUAAUUUAGCAAGAGCUGGAGAAGGUGUUAAAAAUAAUGAGGACUGGAGACUAGAUGGUUUGUGCAACUUGGUGAACAGACGAUUUGAUGAAUUGGAAAGUACUAUGAGUAGAAAAAUUGAUGAAUUGCAGUGCUAAGUCCUAGAAAACAAUGUUCUAGCCCAAAGUAAAACUGCUUUGUAUAGACAUGUUCAUGCUAGUGACAUUCCAGGUGAUCUGAUUAACGUUCUUGUCUUAAAGAGCAGUGUUAGAGUUCAAAUUGUUGACCUGUAAUUACCCAUGCUUUGAUCCGGAUACAGGUGUCAUAUUUGGUGUGUCAUAGUGGUCAACUAACAACUGGUAACAUGGGUCCUUCUAGAAAGGUGUUUAAAUAGUGAUGCAUGUAAUGAUGAUGAUGACACUCCUAACAUCAAAUGGGAUUACACAACCUUAAGGCGUCAGUUUAAAAAACAACGUGCAAUGCUCGGUUCACUGAAAAGGGCCUUAGAGCUGUUACGUAAGCGUAGUGUCCCUACUGUUGUAGCUGAUGGAGAGUCUGCAGACGAUGGUAUCACAGCUCUGCCUCCUAGAAAAAUCUUCAAACAGUGAUCACUAUGAUCCUCAGGCAGUACAUGACAGAGUCAGUCUGUCUGAAGUAAUCGAGCAGGCAAUGGCUGAUUCACCAUCAGGUAGUGUUUUAAAUGUGGUGUUGAGAGGCCCAUCCUUGGCCAGCGAUGUACAGGUAGUUUUACAUGCAGAUGAUCAAAGUAGUGUAGAUUUGUUUAUUGAUAACUUUUCUCAGGUUGUACAGAGCAAUGAUACAUCUAUGACUGAAUUGGAGUUUAUAGUAAGUGCAGCCAGGGGUAGAAGCAGUGGUGAUGCACACCUAAGAUUGGGGAGUGUUCCUUAUGAUGAGAUUUUAUCAAAAAAAGGAGAUUUCUGUACAAUCCAAACAACCGGCGACAACAAUCUGUGUUUCUCUCUUUACCUUGCACAUUUUGUUAAUGCCCGCAUGACCGAGUUUGAAAAAAUGGCACAUGCAAAACAAUUGCACAGCGAUGUAGGUUUUGAUCACAUGCACAAAGUAAUGUUCUCUGACAUCACCGAAUCCGAGAAACAGUUAAAUGUAAAAAUUAUAGUCUUCCAUCACGGCUCUGGGAGGAAACGUCUGCAGCCUUUCCAAACACAUGAGGACCCGCACCUGCGAACAAUUUGGUUAUACCUACACAAUGAUCAUUGUUAUUUGAUUGAAAACAAGCCAGGGUUUUUUGGUGCUCCAUAUGUCUGUCACGACUGCGACAAGACAUAUAAGUCCCCUCUAUACCAUAAUUGUAGCAAACAAACAAACAAACAAAGCCCUAGGUUUCCAAGAUAUGGAGAAAGGUUAUUUUCCCCACAAGUUCAACACUAGGGAAAAUGAGAACUACAUAGGCACUUACCCUGAUCCAUCUUCCUAUGGGUAUGACAGUAUGAGUAACAGUCAGAAAAAGAUCUUUCUGGCGUGGUAUGACACAGUCCGCAAAGAAAUCUGAGAUUUGGCUGUACUGUAUUAAUGAUGUGGCAAUAAAGGCAUUAUUUAUAAUGCAAUACUUUUCUCGAGUGUGCACAUCUUGAUCCGUUUGCAUUCACCACUCUGGCGUCUACCUGCAUAGGGGUAUUCAAAACACAAUUUUUGCCCAGAGACACAGUGGCUCUCACGUAUGAAGGCACAUACGUUCAGCAGAACAAGACUUAUUCAGAGGUGUAAAACGAAAAAAAUUUCUGAAAUGCAAGCAAGAGGCAUCUGGCUACCCUGGGCAUGUCAAAACACCUGAAGAGCAGAAAAAGUAGAUUGACGACUAUUUUGAAAAGAAAGGCAUUAAACUGGAUCCUAAUAAAAUUAGUGUUAACAAAGCUGUCAGGAGCUGUAAUAAACUACUUCUAAGCUCUUUGUGGGGGAGGUUUAGCAUGAGGGAUAACAUGCCGUUGCGUGAGUUGAUCACCGAACCAGAGAGAUUUACACAGCUGAUGUUCAGCGACCAUUAUGAUGUUAGGCAAUUUUGUUUCAUCUCAGAUGAUGUGGCAAUGGUGCAGUGGUGUCAUGCGGACGGCAGGGGGUCCAGAGUUUGAGAUGUCAAUGUCUUCAUCGGGGCGAUGACCACAGCUUACGCGAGACUCAAGCUUUAUAGCUUGCUGGAUAAAUUGCAGGAACGUGUGUUGUAUUGUGACACUGACAGCGUUGUUUUUACAUCGUGGGCUCGUCUUUGGGUCCCUUCUUUUAGGCAUGUGUUUCAAAAUUUCUUCUAGAAUCAGGUCCUUUUUAGCACUGUCAUCCGCACCAGGUGUAACAUCGAGAGUCAAUCUACUCGCAUCCCUACUUUCACUGGAGGGUAGUGAUAAAGUCACGUCUGUAUCCGGUAGUUUCAAUACAUCAAGCAUAGCUCUAUCCAAAUUGUUUUGUGCUGUUUGUCUUAUGGAAAAAGUGUCUUGCUCUUGCUGCUGGUGCUGCUUUAAUGAGUCCAACUGAUGCUGAGGAACCAAAACAAUUUUUCCAGGCAAAAAAAUUAAUAAAAAUAAAAUUACAAUUAACAAUAAACCAAGUGUCACUGCAUCACAUAAUGUUUUAGACAGUUCCAGACCACAGGGGUGGGAAAUGUUUUUAAAAACGUUGUCUAGUUUAAAUGUACCGCUAUCGGCUAUCCCAAACACCCAGGUACGUCAGGGCUAUUUCAGAAUAUAAAGGUGGCGAUGCCACAACUAGUGAAAUGAGUUUUACAACCCAUGACAAAUCAGGCAACAGAAAAAAAGAAAAAACAUUCCUUGAAUGGCUAACACAGGUUUAGCAUACCUCUUAGAACACCUGGAUCAAAGAGGUUUAAAUCACCUAGAUCAGACACUACUGCAUGGCUAGAGUUUUGAUUUUUUUUUACUCUUUUAUGUAUUAUAUGAAGAUUGAAUGUAUUUUUAUGAAUGCUAAAUGUAGCAAUCACACAACAAAUGUAUUUUUGAUUUCUUUGUUACUAUUUUGUACGUAUCAUAUAGUAUGAAUCUUAUGAAGGCAAAAUGUGCCAAUGACAGAACAAAUUUAAUUUUAUUUAUUCUUUAGAUCAAAUUACCAUUUCAAAAU